rnacentral:rRNA from 1 species
GACAUAGGUGGCGAACGUUAUCCGGAUUUAUUGGGCGUAAAGGAUGCGUAGAUGUUAUUACAAGUUAUUAGUAAAAAAUAGAAGCUCAACUUCUGGCGGCUAAUAAUACUAUAAUAAUUGAGGGCAGAAGAGGUUGACGGAAUUCUGUGUGGAGCGGUGAAAUGCUUAGAUAUACAGAGGAACACCAAAAUAGGCGAAGGCAGUUUAACUAUUUCUGUUCCUGACAUUGAGGCAUGGAAAGCGUGGGGAGCAAACAGG